GCGUCUUCGGCGUCCGCAUUGUAAUCUCAAGAAGUGUUUUCCGCUUCGGACCAUGCCUAAGUCCCUUGGAAAAGGGCAUCAUAGAGGGUGAUAAUCCCGUACAUGGCAUGGAGCGCCCGAGGCUUUGUGAUACGCUUUCUAAGAGUCGAGUUGUUUGGGAAUGCAGCUCAAAAUGGGUGGUAAAUGCCAUCUAAGGCUAAAUAUUGGGGAGAGACCGAUAGCGAACAAGUACAGUGAUGGAAAGAUGAAAAGAACUUUGAAAAGAGAGUUAAACAGUACGUGAAAUUGCCAAAAGGGAAGGGUAGGAGGUCAGAGAUGCGUCUUGGGAUUCAGCCUUGCUUUUGCUUGGUGUUUUUCCCAAGUUGCAGGCCAACGUCGGUUUUGGGCACUGGAGAAGGGUGGAAGGAACGUGGCACCUCUCGGGGUGUGUUAUAGCCUUCUACUGGAUACAGCGACCGAGACCGAGGACAGCAGCGUACUCGCAAGAGCGGGCCUUCGGGCACCUUUACGCUUAGGGCGUUGGCAUAAUGGCCCUCUACCACCCG
rnacentral:rRNA from 1 species